rnacentral:tRNA from 1 species
UGGCCGAUGGUGUAAAGGUAGCACAGGGGACUUUGACUCCCCUAGUCUAGGUUCGAAUCCUAGUCGGCCAACCA